rnacentral:lncRNA from 12 species
UGACACUUCAGACUUUAUCACAACUUUCAGACUACUGGGCUGCAUCCUGGCCUUCCUGAAAACCUCUAUUCCUUGAAAACCUCUACUAUAGCUCUGAAUGCAAGUUGAACCAGCCUUCUUCACUCCAGAUUUUGGUCAGAAGUGAGACAUCACUCAGUCAAGCAGUUCAAAUGGAAUAAGAAACCUGAGAUUUUCAAAUGGGCAUCUGACUGAAGACUUUCCUUUCCUUUCUGGAGGCCACGCUGAGUGAAGGUGAGGCUGGAGGUGCUGAUGGCCAUGGCUCUUGAGAUAUGAAAUGCUGCAAUAUGAAAUGCAGAC